UACGGGGGGGGCAAGCGUUGUUCGGAAUUACUGGGCGUAAAGGGCUCGUAGGCGGCCAACUAAGUCAGACGUGAAGUCCCUCGGCUUAACCGGGGAACUGCAUCUGAUACUGGAUGGCUUGAGUUCGGGAGAGGGAUGCGGAAUUCCAGGUGUAGCGGUGAAAAUGCGUAGAUAUCUGGAGGAACACCGGUGGCGAAGGCGGCAUCCUGGACCGACACUGACGCUGAGGCGCGAAAGCUAGGGGAGCAAACGGG
rnacentral:rRNA from 1 species